rnacentral:rRNA from 1 species
GAACCAUCAAAUCUUUGAACGCAUAUUGCGCUCAAGGCUUCGGCCGAGAGCAUGUCUGCCUCAGCGUCGGGUUA